UGCCAGGGCAGGAAAAGGAAAGGAAAAAGGGAAAUGAGCCCAGGAAGCAGAGAAAGCAUAUACAAAGGGGGGUGUCACUGAGCUGGACAAAGCCUCAGAAGAAAACCUUGCUGGUUUCCAAGUUCCCAGAUGAUCUUGGAAAAAGCUGUGUGGAAUGAUGGUGGCUUACAACAGUGGAAGGGUAGAAGGCAGGUAAGAGAAAGUCUUGUGGUCAGCAGGUUGAUGGACAUUUUGGAAAGUCACAUCCAUCUCAGGUGCUGUGUUGGGUCACAGGCAGAGCAAGAGAAAAGGCACACAUAUGUCACACAGCCCAAUUAGGCAGGAACAUCAGACCAGUUCCCUCAUACUGCUCAAAUGCACUUAGCUUACACACACAGCCUAUGGAUGGCUUGUGACAGGUGGGCCCAAUUGUAUUGAAUGAAGUUACUUUGGAUCUUCAAGCAGCAGACUUGAUGGAGUCCAUGCUGAAGUCCGGCUCUCAAUACUCCCUCCCCUCUUCCAGCAGAGAUAAAACAGCAAACAGCACAACUGCAGUAGCAGCCAGGCCUCCCAGAGAGCAACUGGCUGCAGAUGGGGCUGGGGGUGAUGCAGGUGAGGCCAAGUGAAUCUGGGGAGCCCCAUGAACCGGACCAGUACAGCUACUGGUGCAUUAGAAUUGAUGUUCUUCUAACACAUCUAGCUUACCUAAAUGAAGCUGCCCACCACCACCACUCCAG
rnacentral:lncRNA from 1 species